AACGAACGCUGGCGGCGUGCCUCACACAUGCAAGUCGAACGAGAACGUUCCCUUCGGGGAACUAGUAAAGUGGCGAACGGGCGCGUAACACGUGGGUAACUUGCCUCUUAGACUGGAAUAACAUCCCGAAAGGGUUGCUAAUACCGGAUAAGCUCACAUGUUCUGUGGAACGAGUGAGAAAAGGCGGCCUCUUCUUGAAAGCUGUCACUAAGAGAUAGGCCCGCGGCCCAUUAGCUAGUUGGUGAGAUAAAAGCUCACCAAGGCAACGAUGGGUAGCCGACCUGAGAGGGUGAUCGGCCACACUGGGACUGAGAUACGGCCCAGACUCCUACGGGAGGCAGCAGUGGGGAAUAUUGCGCAAUGGACGAAAGUCUGACGCAGCAACGCCGCGUGAGUGAUGAAGGCCUUCGGGUCGUAAAGCUCUGUCGUGUGGGAAGAACAUCACGGAAAAUAAUACGUUCCGUGUCUGACGGUACCGCACAAGAAAGCCCUGGCUAACUCCGUG
rnacentral:rRNA from 1 species